AACCUCAGUUCGGAUUGAAGGCUGAAAUUCGCCUACAUGAAGCUGGAGUUACUAGUAAUCGCAGAUCAGAAUGCUGCGGUGAAUGCGUUCCCGGGUCUUGUACACACCGCCCGUCACACCACGGAAGUUGGGGGGCGCCCGAAGCCACUUAGCUAACCCAUUUGGGAAGCGAGUGUCGAAGGUGAAAUCAAUAACUGGGGUGAAGUCGUAACAAGGUACC
rnacentral:rRNA from 1 species